UACGAAGGGGGCUAGCGUUGUUCGGAAUCACUGGGCGUAAAGCGCACGUAGGCGGAUCUUUAAGUCAGGGGUGAAAUCCCGAGGCUCAACCUCGGAACUGCCUUUGAUACUGGGGGUCUCGAGUCCGGGAGAGGUGAGUGGAACUGCGAGUGUAGAGGUGAAAUUCGUAGAUAUUCGCAAGAACACCAGUGGCGAAGGCGGCUCACUGGCCCGGAACUGACGCUGAGGUGCGAAAGCGUGGGGAGCAAACAGG
rnacentral:rRNA from 1 species